rnacentral:rRNA from 1 species
GACGAACGCUGGCGGCGUGAUUAACACAUGCAAGUCGAACGGAAAGGCCCUGCUUUUGUGGGGUGCUCGAGUGGCGAACGGGUGAGUAACACGUGAGUAACCUGCCCUUGACUUUGGGAUAACUUCAGGAAACUGGGGCUAAUACCGGAUAGGAGCUCCUGCUGCAUGGUGGGGGUUGGAAAGUUUCGGCGGUUGGGGCUGGACUCGCGGCUUAUCAGCUUGUUGGUGGGGUAGUGGCUUACCAAGGCUUUGACGGGUAGCCGGCCUGAGAGGGUGACCGGCCACAUUGGGACUGAGAUACGGCCCAGACUCCUACGGGAGGCAGCAGUGGGGAAUAUUGCACAAUGGGCGGAAGCCUGAUGCAGCAACGCCGCGUGCGGGAUGACGGCCUUCGGGUUGUAAACCGCUUUCGCCUGUGACGAAGCGUGAGUGACGGUAAUGGGUAAAGAAGCACCGGCUAACUACGUG